GAUGAACGCUGGCGGCGUGCCUAAUACAUGCAAGUCGAGCGAACGGACGAGAAGCUUGCUUCUCUGAUGUUAGCGGCGGACGGGUGAGUAACACGUGGAUAACCUACCUAUAAGACUGGGAUAACUUCGGGAAACCGGAGCUAAUACCGGAUAAUAUUUUGAACCGCAUGGUUCAAAAGUGAAAGACGGUCUUUCUGUCACUUAUAGCUGGAUCCGCGCUGCAUUAGCUAGUUGGUAAGGUAACGGCUUACCAAGGCAACGAUGCAUAGCCGACCUGAGAGGGUGAUCGGCCACACUGGAACUGAGACACGGUCCAGACUCCUACGGGAGGCAGCAGUAGGGAAUCUUCCGCAAUGGGCGAAAGCCUGACGGAGCAACGCCGCGUGAAUGAUGAAGGUCUUCGGAUCGUAAAACUCUGUUAUUAGGGAAGAACAUAUGUGUAAGUAACUGUGCACAGCUUGACGGUACCUAAUCAGAAAGCCACGGCUAACUACGUG
rnacentral:rRNA from 1 species